AAGCAAGGCAUAGUGGUUUGAGUGUUGGACUAUGACUCUGGAGACCAGGGUUCGAUUCCCUGGGGGGGCUUG
rnacentral:tRNA from 1 species